GGUUCCAUAAUGUAGUGGUUAAUAUAUCUGCUUUACAUGCAGAAGGUCCUGGUUCCAAUCUCCAGUGUAAGCA
rnacentral:tRNA from 1 species